CCUACGGGUGGCAGCAGUGGGGAAUCUUGCACAAUGGGCGCAAGCCUGAUGCAGCCAUGCCGCGUGUGUGAAGAAGGCCUUCGGGUUGUAAAGCACUUUCAGCGGGGAGGAAGGCGGUGAGGUUAAUAACCUCAUAGAUUGACGUUACCUGCAGAAGAAGCACCGGCUAACUACGUGCCAGCAGCCGCGGUAAUACGGAGGGUGCAAGCGUUAAUCGGAAUUACUGGGCGUAAAGCGCACGCAGGCGGUCUGUCAAGUCGGAUGUGAAAUCCCCGGGCUCAACCUGGGAACUGCAUUCGAAACUGGCAGGCUAGAGUCUUGAAGAGGGGGGUAGAAUUCCAGGUGUAGCGGUGAAAUGCGUAGAGAUCUGGAGGAAUACCGGUGGCGAAGGCGGCCCCCUGGACAAAGACUGACGCUCAGGUGCGAAAGCGUGGGGAGCGAACAGGAUUAGAUACCCGGGUAGUC
rnacentral:rRNA from 1 species